GAUGAACGCUAGCGGCAGGCCUAAUACAUGCAAGUCAACUGAACUUGAGAUAGCAAUAUUUUAAGGGAGGUGGCGCACGGGUGAGUAACACGUAGGUAAUCUGCCUUUAGGUCUGACACAACCCCGAGAAAUCGGGGCUAAUAUCAGAUGAUGCAGCGGCUCGACAUCGAGACAGUUGUUAAACCUUCGGGGCCUAAAGAUGAGCCUGCGUCUGAUUAGGUAGUUGGCGGAGUAAAAGCCCACCAAGCCUGCGAUCAGUAGCUGGUCUGAGAGGACGAUCAGCCACACGGGAACUGAGAAACGGUCCCGACUCCUACGGGGGGCAGCAGUGAGGAAUAUUGGGCAAUGGACGGCAGUCUGACCCAGCAACGCCGCGUGGAGGAUGAAGGUUUUUGGAUUGUAAACUCCUUUUGUGGGGGAAGAGCGAGGACGGUACCCCAAGAAUAAGUCACGGCUAACUACGUGCCAGCAGCCGCGGUAAAUCUCG
rnacentral:rRNA from 1 species